CUUGGUUCUCGCAUCGAUGAAGAACGCAGCGAAUUGCGAUAAGUAAUGUGAAUUGCAGAUUUUCGUGAAUCAUCGAAUCUUUGAACGCAUAUUGCGCUCUAUAGUAUUCUAUAGAGCAUGCCUGUUUGAGCGUCAUUUCUCUCUUAAACCUUUGGGU
rnacentral:rRNA from 1 species